rnacentral:rRNA from 1 species
GGUUAAGCGACUAAGCGUACACGGUGGAUGCCCUGGCAGUCAGAGGCGAUGAAGGACGUGCUAAUCUGCGAAAAGCGUCGGUAAGGUGAUAUGAACCGUUACAGCCGGCGAUGUCCGAAUGGGGAAACCCAGUGCAAUUCGUUGCACUAUCGUUAACUGAAUACAUAGGUUAACGAGGCGAACCGGGGGAACUGAAACAUCUAAGUACCCCGAGGAAAAGAAAUCAACCGAGAUUCCCCCAGUAGCGGCGAGCGAACGGGGAGCAGCCCAGAGUCUGAAUCAGCUUGUGUGUUAGUGGAACGGUCUGGAAAGUCCGACGGUACAGGGUGAUAGUCCCGUACACCAAAAUGCACAGGCUGUGAACUCGAAGAGUAGGGCGGGACACGUGGUAUCCUGUCUGAAUAUGGGGGGACCAUCCUCCAAGGCUAAAUACUCCUGACUGACCGAUAGUGAACCAGUACCGUGAGGGAAAGGCGAAAAGAACCCCGGCGAGGGGAGUGAAAAAGAACCUGAAACCGUGUACGUACAAGCAGUGGGAGCACCUUCGGGUGUGACUGCGUACCUUUUGUAUAAUGGGUCAGCGACUUAUAUUCUGUAGCAAGGUUAACCGUAUAGGGGAGCCGCAGGGAAACCGAGUCUUAACUGGGCGUUAAGUUGCAGGGUAUAGACCCGAAACCCGGUGAUCUAGCCAUGGGCAGGUUGAAGGUUGGGUAACACUAACUGGAGGNNUCAUCUUCGGGGGUAGAGCACUGUUUCGGCUAGGGGGUCAUCCCGACUUACCAACCCGAUGCAAACUACGAAUACCGAAGAAUGUUAUCACGGGAGACACACGGCGGGUGCUAACGUCCGUCGUGAAGAGGGAAACAACCCAGACCGCCAGCUAAGGUCCCAAAGUCACAGUUAAGUGGGAAACGAUGUGGGAAGGCACAGACAGCCAGGAUGUUGGCUUAGAAGCAGCCAUCAUUUAAAGAAAGCGUAAUAGCUCACUGGUCGAGUCGGCCUGCGCGGAAGAUGUAACGGGGCUAAACUGUGCACCGAAGCUGCGGCAGCGACACUAUGUGUUGUUGGGUAGGGGAGCGUUCUGUAAGCCUGCGAAGGUGGCCUGUGAGGGUUGCUGGAGGUAUCAGAAGUGCGAAUGCUGACAUAAGUAACGAUAAUGCGGGUGAAAAGCCCGCACGCCGGAAGACCAAGGGUUCCUGUCCAACGUUAAUCGGGGCAGGGUGAGUCGACCCCUAAGGCGAGGCCGAAAGGCGUAGUCGAUGGGAAACAGGUUAAUAUUCCUGUACUUGGUGUUACUGCGAAGGGGGGACGGAGAAGGCUAUGUUAGCCGGGCGACGGUUGUCCCGGUUUAAGCAUGUAGGCGGAGGUUCCAGGUAAAUCCGGUACCUUUUUAACGCUGAGGUGUGAUGACGAGGCACUACGGUGCUGAAGUAACAAAUGCCCUGCUUCCAGGAAAAGCCUCUAAGCAUCAGGUAACAUUAAAUCGUACCCCAAACCGACACAGGUGGUCAGGUAGAGAAUACCAAGGCGCUUGAGAGAACUCGGGUGAAGGAACUAGGCAAAAUGGUGCCGUAACUUCGGGAGAAGGCACGCUGAUAUGUAGGUGAAGCCCCUGCGGGUGGAGCUGAAAUCAGUCGAAGAUACCAGCUGGCUGCAACUGUUUAUUAAAAACACAGCACUGUGCAAACACGAAAGUGGACGUAUACGGUGUGACGCCUGCCCGGUGCCGGAAGGUUAAUUGAUGGGGUUAUCCGUAAGGAGAAGCUCUUGAUCGAAGCCCCGGUAAACGGCGGCCGUAACUAUAACGGUCCUAAGGUAGCGAAAUUCCUUGUCGGGUAAGUUCCGACCUGCACGAAUGGCGUAAUGAUGGCCAGGCUGUCUCCACCCGAGACUCAGUGAAAUUGAACUCGCUGUGAAGAUGCAGUGUACCCGCGGCAAGACGGAAAGACCCCGUGAACCUUUACUAUAGCUUGACACUGAACAUUGAGCCUUGAUGUGUAGGAUAGGUGGGAGGCUUUGAAGCGUGGACGCCAGUCUGCGUGGAGCCAACCUUGAAAUACCACCCUUUAAUGUUUGAUGUUCUAACGUUGGCCCCUGACCGGGGUUGCGGACAGUGUCUGGUGGGUAGUUUGACUGGGGCGGUCUCCUCCCAAAGAGUAACGGAGGAGCACGAAGGUUAGCUAAUCCUGGUCGGACAUCAGGAGGUUAGUGCAAUGGCAUAAGCUAGCUUGACUGCGAGCGUGACGGCGCGAGCAGGUGCGAAAGCAGGUCAUAGUGAUCCGGUGGUUCUGAAUGGAAGGGCCAUCGCUCAACGGAUAAAAGGUACUCCGGGGAUAACAGGCUGAUACCGCCCAAGAGUUCAUAUCGACGGCGGUGUUUGGCACCUCGAUGUCGGCUCAUCACAUCCUGGGGCUGAAGUAGGUCCCAAGGGUAUGGCUGUUCGCCAUUUAAAGUGGUACGCGAGCUGGGUUUAGAACGUCGUGAGACAGUUCGGUCCCUAUCUGCCGUGGGCGCUGGAGAAUUGAGGGGGGCUGCUCCUAGUACGAGAGGACCGGAGUGGACGCAUCACUGGUGUUCGGGUUGUCAUGCCAAUGGCAUUGCCCGGUAGCUAAAUGCGGAAGAGAUAAGUGCUGAAAGCAUCUAAGCACGAAACUUGCCCCGAGAUGAGUUCUCCCUGAGACUUUAAGUCUCCUGAAGGAACGUUAAAGACGAUGACGUUGAUAGGUCGGAUGUGUAAGCGUAGCGAUACGUUGAGCUAACCGAUACUAAUGAACCGUGAGGCUUAACCUU